rnacentral:rRNA from 1 species
GAUGAACGCUGGCGGCGUGCCUAAUACAUGCAAGUCGAGCGAACAGAUGAGGAUCUUGCUCCUCUGACGUUAGCGGCUGACGUGUGAGUAACACGUGUAUAACCUACCUAUAAUACUGGGAUAACUUCGGGAAACCGGAUCUAAUACCGGAUAAUAUAUUGAACCGCAUGGUUCAAUAGUGAAAGACGUUUUUUCUGUCUCUUAUAGAUUGAUCCGCGCCGCAUUAGCUAGUUGGUAAGGUAACGGCUUACCAAGGCAACGAUGCGUAUCCGACGUGAGAGGGUGAUCGGCCACACUGGAACUGAGACACGGACCAGAGUACUACGGGAGGCAGCAGUAGGGAAUGUUCCGCAAUGGGCGAAAGCAUGACGGAGCAACGCCGCGUGAGUGAGGAAGGUCUUCGGAUCGUAAAACUCUGUUAUUAGGGAAGAACAAAUGUGUAAGUAACUAUGCACGUAUUGACGGUAACUAAUCAGAAAGCAACGGCUAACUACGUG